rfam:Saccharothrix sp. ALI-22-I Contig44, whole genome shotgun sequence.
GGAGUGUCUGGACCUCCGGAGUCGCCUUGCGGGAGGAGGCUUCAAACCACCUACCGGGGCCUUGGCUAAAGACCGUGGUCUUGAACGGUGUAGGAAAAGGCGCGGCUGAGAUCGUGUCAGGU